rnacentral:lncRNA from 1 species
UUCUUAAUUGAAAAUAACCGAAGCUGCUAAAUUUGUCAAUAUUUGAACCAAACUAUUGAAAUUCCUACGAUAAAAGUAUUUUUAUAUGUUUCACGUAACAUUUGAUAUUUGAACAAUUCUAAAUAAUAAGAAAACACCGAAUAUUUAAUGUGAACGCGCUUGUCUCAAUGAGUGAAUAUCUCAGUCGACUCUUCUUUGUAUUUAAUAUUCAAUCCGCUUUGCAAUUAAAUUAAAUCAAUGUUUAAUUAAAUAAUAGUAAAUCCCUGGAAUAUCUAAAUUCGCAAAUUACCUAGGUGACUCGAGCCUGACAAAGAAACAAUAGCAUAUAAAUAUGAAACAAUACCAUCGUCGAUAUAUAAUUAUUCCUAUCAGCUGAUUCGUGACAGCUUGUUUCAAUAGUCGCGUGAUGUGUGCAAUUUUUGCAUAAUUACACAAAAAAAGGUAGGGGAACGAGGGGAGGUAGUAUUUUAAGAUAUCGUCGACUGGAGUUUUCCAGCUCUUCGAUAGUACGAAUGUUUGCUCGAGUUCAUUCUCGGAUAAAUAACGGAUCAAAUUUAUUUUAAAUAUGAGACUAUGGUCAAGGACAAUAAAUCGUAGGUAUUGAGAGAUUUAUUAGUGGAAUUUUAUCAGUGCCAGCUAUUGAGAUUGUCUUUGAAUGCGAGUGGAUGAAAACUAAGUAGAAGUUUAAUCGUCGAAGAAUUCAUAUAAUGUAUAUACAUGUAAAUCUUGGAGUGACUAUAUUUGAAUUUUUGUUACAUCAAAGGCGAACAAACACUUAAGUUGAUAGAUAAAUUAUCUGUCAGUACAGAAAUCAAUAUUCAGACAAUACUCUCUAAUAUUAGAAUAAUAUAUACUCUGUAUAGAGUAUAUAUUCUCUGUAUAUAUACUCUGUAAUAUAUACUCUGUAAUAUAUACUCUGUAUAGAGUAUAUAUUAUACUUAGGACUUUGACAAUGUUUAUAUCUUUAAUUCUUUGAACGUUAAACCUUUAACAUCGGGGUAAGAGUAUACGUGCAAUGAUUAAAUUUUCGAAAUUAAUUUCUCUGAAAAAUAAAACUCUGAUCGUGAAAUGUUUAUUCGAGAACUCUCAAGAUAAAACUUCUUGAGACUUUCAUAGAAAUUUCCUUUUUAUUUGUAUCAUCAAAUACGACCCACCCAGUUCGAUUAGUUAUUUACAAUGUUUCAAUCUUAAUCAUAUCUGAUGUUAUACAACGUCAAGUUUUAUAUCUGUAUAUCUAUGUUGUAUGAAUCUUAUCUCUCUUCUUAUUACGUCCUAUCAUUAUAUCGUUAUUUGCUAUUUAUGUCAAUUAAUAUUCGUCAUACUUAUUCGAAAAAUUGCACUUCUAUAGGUAAAAGAACAUUCGACUAUAAAGAGUUAAUAGAGCGUAUUUUAAAACUAGUUUUAAACUAGUAAAUAUCAGAUGUUUAGAAAGUGAUUUUAGAUUGGUAAAGUUAUUCAUGUGUAACUUUUUGAUCCUUAACCCACUAGACACUGGAACUAUUUAUAGUGGGACCACUCUUGUCUUUUUUUUAUAACCCAGCCAUUCCUGUUCUUUUAUUAGACUAAUAAAUCCAAGUUAAAUACUAAAAUAAUUAUUUCUAACUGGCUAGGUUUCUAACAAAAUAUUUGUCAAACUUUCAUCAUUUCUGAUCGUCACAUUGCAUUAAAAACCUACUAAUUUUUUUAUUCGACGCGUAGAUAUUGAAAUAUAUCUUUCACAAAAUGAAACGCAGUCUAUUAUGUAGACUUAAAUUCGCUAUUGAUUACUCAGAUAUUGUACAAGAUAAUAAGAUAUUUACAAGUUACGGAGAAAAGACACAACCGAAUGACAGAGAAGAAAAUAUCGUAAGUGUGUCUUGAAUUUCCAUAGGAAGAUACGAGUUACUCCUUAAACGGUAACCUUCGAAGAACGGUUGUUAACCGUGAAAUUCCCAGUAAAUUUCGUAAUCACAAGCGAAUGUUUCCGGAACAGCGACGUACAGUACAAUUUGCACAGUCACGCAGAAAAUUAUUUUAGUUUGGUCAAUACUACUACCAAUUGCGCCUCAUUUUUAAACACGUUUCAAAGUUUGCAACAUCGCAGUUGCAAAAUGCUAUACUCUCAGUGCUUAAGCUUAGAUUUUGUUAAGAAGCAAACGAUCACGAUAUAACUAAUAUAAUAAUCAAAGUUACACGACGUUAUAGAGGUAAAAUAUACGCACAUAUUGAAUAAAACAACAGAAAGCUUUCCGCUACUGUCCAACAAAGCAAUGACCGUUAAAGGUGCAAAUAUGAAAUGCAAAUUUCGCGCCAAAAAACAGCUACAACGUACAGGUUAUUUUCACGGAUUAACAUAGGAAAGUUUUCGAUUCGAUAGAAGAACGAAUGCCUUGGAUACCGUUGCAAUAAUCAAUAGUCAGUCGUUACUUUUUGUCCUCUUUAUAAUUAUCACACGCUAAUAAGAUGUAAUCUCAAAUUGUUAUGCGAAUUCAUAAACAUAAAUAAAGAUUAGUACUAUCUUUACUAUAAGAG